UACGUAGGUGGCAAGCGUUAUCCGGAUUUACUGGGUGUAAAGGGCGUGUAGGCGGGACUGCAAGUCAGAUGUGAAAACCAUGGGCUCAACCUGUGGCCUGCAUUUGAAACUGUAGUUCUUGAGUACUGGAGAGGCAGACGGAAUUCCUAGUGUAGCGGUGAAAUGCGUAGAUAUUAGGAGGAACACCAGUGGCGAAGGCGGUCUGCUGGACAGCAACUGACGCUGAGGCGUGAAAGCGUGGGAAGCAAACAGG
rnacentral:rRNA from 1 species